GUGAAUCAUCAAAUUUUUGAACGCAAAUUGCACUCUCUUCGGAGAGUAUGCCUGUUUGAGGGUCAGCCUAAAAAAAAAAAUCGACAUAGUCGUUGUUUCGCGGUGCCAUUCGUCGGAAAUUGGGUCAUUUUAAACUUUUGGGUUUUAAGGGGUUUAAAAUUUUUUUUUGGAUUCCACGAACGUUUCUAGAAUUUAUUUUUUACACUUUA
rnacentral:misc_RNA from 1 species